rnacentral:rRNA from 1 species
GAUGAACGCUGGCGGCGUGCCUAAUACAUGCAAGUCGAGCGAACAGACGAGGAGCUUGCUCCUCUGACGUUAGCGGCGGACGGGUGAGUAACACGUGGAUAACCUACCUAUAAGACUGGGAUAACUUCGGGAAACCGGAGCUAAUACCGGAUAAUAUAUUGAACCGCAUGGUUCAAUAGUGAAAGACGGUUUUGCUGUCACUUAUAGAUGGAUCCGCGCCGCAUUAGCUAGUUGGUAAGGUAACGGCUUACCAAGGCAACGAUGCGUAGCCGACCUGAGAGGGUGAUCGGCCACACUGGAACUGAGACACGGUCCAGACUCCUACGGGAGGCAGCAGUAGGGAAUCUUCCGCAAUGGGCGAAAGCUUGGCGGAGCAACGCCGCGUGAGUGAUGAAGGUCUUCGGAUCGUAAAACUCCGUUAUUAGGGAAGAACAAAUGUGUAAGUAACUAUGCACGUCUUGACGGUACCUAAUCAGAAAGCCACGGCUAACUACGUG